rnacentral:rRNA from 1 species
CCUACGGGAGGCUGCAGUGGGGAAUAUUGGACAAUGGGCGGAAGCCUGAUCCAGCCAUGCCGCGUGUGUGAAGAAGGUCUUCGGAUUGUAAAGCACUUUAAUUUGGGAGGAAGGGCAGUUAACGAAUACUUAACUGUUUUGACGUUACCAAAAGAAUAAGCACCGGCUAACUUCGUGCCAGCAGCCGCGGUAAUACGAAGGGUGCAAGCGUUAAUCGGAAUUACUGGGCGUAAAGCGCGCGUAGGUGGUUCGUUAAGUUGGAAGUGAAAGCCCCGGGCUCAACCUGGGAAUUGCUUUCAAAACUGGCGAGCUAGAGUACGGUAGAGGGUGGUGGAAUUUCCUGUGUAGCGGUGAAAUGCGUAGAUAUAGGAAGGAACAUCAGUGGCGAAGGCGACCACCUGGACUGAUACUGACACUGAGGUGCGAAAGCGUGGGGAGCAAACAGGAUUAGAUACCCCAGUAGUC